rnacentral:lncRNA from 1 species
ACUGUUUACAUCUUUGCACCAUAUUUGCAUAAGCCUCUAUCAUUGCACAAGUUCAGCAGAUACCGGCACACUAUAGUAAUGUUUAUAAGGCAGACGAGCACGUAAUAAUCAUACAUUUUCAUUUAUUAAAAGGGGGGGGGUAUUUGGAACAGCUAAAUAGCAGCAGUGUAAAAUCAGAAACUGUGGAAAUUCAUGAGCUCACGUUUGCUGUAAUACUGUGACACAAAAGCACUGGUAAGCAAUAAGGACAGAUGGAAAAUAUCCUCUGUAUAUGCGUGUACCCUCAUGAGUCAAAGCAGCAGCAUUGAAAAGAGAGAUCCUUAAUUACAUGAAUAGUUUCUAGCACAGAUAUCUGGAUAUAAGAUACACAGACAUUACCAUUUAAAAGUUUGGGGUUUGUAAGAUUUUUUUUUUCUCAUGUUCACCAAGGCUGCAUCUAUUUGAUAAAAAAAAAGUAAUAUUAUGAAAUUAUUACAAUUUAAAAUACAAAUUGUAAAUGUUUUUUUGUUUUAAAUAUAGAUUAAAAUGACAUUUAUUUCUGUGAUUGCAAAGCUGAAUAUUCAGCAUCAUUACUCUAGUCUUCAAUGUUACACGAUCGUUCAGAAAUCAUUCUAAUAUGCUGAUUUGGUGCUCAAGAAACUUAUCAAUGUUGAAAAUAGUUAUGCUGCUUAUGUUUUUAUGGCAACUGUAAUGCAUUUUUUAGGAUCCUUUGAUUAGAAAAGAACAGCAUUUAUUUUAAGUAUUCUUUUUGUAUCAAUCUUAAGUCUCUACUGUCACUUUUGAUAAUUGUAAUGCAUUCUUGCUGAAAAACGUAUUCAUUAUUUAAAAAAUUGUACUGACCCCAAACUUUUAAACUGUAGUGUACAGUAUGCAGUCGUGCAGGUGAAUUACCAUUUACAUGUGUAUAUUUAUAAAAAAAGAAAGCCUGAUAAAUCCAUAAGACUAUUACAUCACUGCAAAGACAUUUGAGGAGAAAGCAUUUCUCUUCAUAACACCAUAAGCAUAUUGGC